CAGUUGUUUUAAGGUUGUUUGACUUGGAGGUGCUCUAAGCAGCUGUCUUUCCUAUCAUAACUCUGGAGGUUUCUGGCAAAGGUUGGAGUUGCAGCGAGGAGCCCAAAUUGUAGCCAGGGAGAGCAGGUGGACUUAACAGGUCAUUUCAGGCAGGUGAAGAUGACUGCAGGCUGCUGGAAGAGGCCUAUGAGAUGGAUCAAUGAAGAAAAAAUAUCUGCACAGUCAGAAGCUAGCAACAACAGUCAGACACAGGUGACGUCUCCAGGUGGUAAAGUUAAAGUUAAUUAAUGGACAUUAGAAGACCGUAACAACUCCUGAACUUGUGGUAAAAGGGCACAUAUGUAACUGUAUUUUUAUUUUGUAUGGACACUUUAAGUUUGUGGAUUUAUCUGGUGCUUAACAAAUUCCUUUCUCUGUGUCUUUCAUGGUGUUUGCUGGUGAGAAGAAGAGAAUGAAUACAAACCUCAGCUGGAGCGUGGCUUUUCUGUACCAGAAGAAAAACUUAAGGAAGAAUUGCUCACAGAGACUUAAGUUUGAUGAUAUCAGAAGAAGCUGUCUUUCAUAUUGCACAGGUGGAGGUAAGGCUCCAAAGGCUGUUGGCAUAGGCUUCAGGCAUGGCAUUGUUAAUGCUCUUUUUUUUUUAAAAAAAAAAAAAAAAGGUUUUUACCAUUAAAGGAGAAAAAAAAAUCUGAACUAAUAGGGAUUUCCUUCCCUGUUAAAAUAUAACUGGUUUAUCACACCUGAGUUCAAUGUAGCCACACCCAGGCCUGAUUACUGCCACACCUGUUCUCAGUCAAGAAAUCCAUUAAAUAGGACCUGCCUGACAACAAAGUAAAGUAGACCAAAAGAUCCUCAAAAGCUAGACAUCAUGCUGAGAUCUAAAGAAAUUCAGGAACAAAUGAGAGAAAGAAAUUAAAACCUAUCAGUCUGGAAAAGGUUAUAAAGCCAUUUCUAAAGCACAACAACUACUCAUCCAAGAGGUCACAAAACAACAACAAAAACAUCCAAAGACCUGCAGACCUCACUUCCCUCAGUUAAAGUCAGUGUUCAUGACUCCACCAUAAGAGACUCUGGGCAAAAGCAGCCUGCAUGACAGAGUCACAAGACGGAAACCACUGCUGAACAAAAGAACAUUAAGGCUCGUCUCAAUUUUGCCAGAGAACUGAUUUUAAAAGUGUUCACGUCUGAUUUUAAAACUUUCUAACCUACUGUGCAUGUUAUCAAAAUAAAAAACUGACCUCCAGAGAAAAGUUUUUGAUUCCAUUUAAACAAAACUUUAUUUAAAAACAGAGUCAAGUUGACAAGUUUUACCAAACACAAUCACGGUAUUUCACUGUCAGAGAGUUAUUGACUCAGACAAAUUAUGUGAAAAGUUAGUUAUAUGUGUAAUACAAAUGCAAAAAAACACGGAGCAGAGAGAGGAAUAAAGCAUGACAGAAAAAUGAACAAAAUAAAGACAAAGCAAUAUGAGCAAAAUAGAAUAUGUGCAUCCAAAAAGAUGACAUUUAAGACAAGCUUUGUGUACAGAGUGAGUUUGGUGGAGGUAGAGAUGAAAAACCAGCUGGGGAAAAAUAUUGAAGGAAAAAAAACCCCAGUGGAUAAAAAGCUCUCUACAUGCUGUCACAGUUUCAGCCUCCAUUUAACAAAGUUUAAGCCAUAAAUGAAGCUCAGAUUAAACAUUUAGUUUUACAAAUAUAAUGAGAAAGCAAAUUCAGUACAACACAAAAACCACCUGGUUACAAUUGUAAGAAGACUCUACUAGCUGUAGAUCUUACAGGUUUGCACCAAAGAAACUCAAAUGUUAGCAAGUUUAACAACACAUCAUCUGGUCAAACAGAUGAAUAAUUUAUAAUAGAUUCAUCAGUACAGAACUAUCCUCUAUGACCCUUGUGUCACAGACAGGUCAUCCAUCUUCAUCACUGGGUCCUCAGUCGAGACUCGAGUAUCCUCCUGUAAAUGAAGAAAACUGUCAUGAGUGAAUAUUCUGCCUCGUUUUCAUUUAGUUUUCUAUCAGUCAGAAAAGGUCUCAGUGAUAAUCCUAUAAUGUCAAUAAUACUGAUAAUGUCAGCGAUAUAAAGGUGGAGGAGAUCUAUAAAGUGACAGUGACACAGCAAAGCUUGCACUCUUCAUGGGUUGUGGGGGUUUAUCUAUGCCCAUCGAGUAAAAACAUCCAACUAUCAUCAUCUUAACGGACUCAUCUGUUAGAAGGAUUUAAGAAAGCUGCCCAUGUGUGCUCCUCAAAGUAGAGCCUGAAAGAGAAAGGCGCACUCACCAUGUCCUGAGUAAGGGUUUUCUGGACGAGGUUGAAGGUCUACGGGCUCACAGUGAGACAGGAAGUCCGCCUGCAGGGUGGUGACUACAGAAGGCAGACAGGGAUCAGAUCCAGUUAGUGGACUGUUAACAUCAAUUUAUCACCAUAAAACUUUGACUGAAAUAAGCAAGACCACUUGCAAAGAUUGACUUACCUCUAAACAGGGGACCAAGUCUUUGUCUUCAUUCUUCAGCCGGUUCCUGGAGCAAGAGAGGGUCAUCGACGUCUCGGUGUAGUCCUAAAACAAAAGGACAAAUUUAUUCUUUAGACCGGCACAGUUUUUAACCUAUAAGUGAAUCAUUCUCUGUUUUAUGUACCGGUUUCUCUGGGAUGGUGCCCACGGCAUCUGGUAGAGUCUGAUGGUGUCCAGAGGCAGGUUUCUGUGCUGGUGCAGACUUCAGUUAAAGGGGUCCAGAAUGAAGAAGAUCCGUCCCUCAAAGAGGGCAAAGCACUGGUGUUUGGGAGAGAUUAAAAUUGGCAGGGGUUAGGAAAUCUGGAUGCAUCAAAUAAAACUGCUGUACCAGUUUUUUUUUGUAGGUGGUGGAAUCUGUACUCCAUGCUCACCUGUAACCCAGUAUGCAGGAGCUCAGAGUCCAGCAGGUGAUGGGGUCUGCCAGGGUCUUCUUGGAUGUAGACUGUAACAACACAAGAUAGAUUUUGGAGAAGCAGAAAGAUGGGUCACUACAUUGGAAACAGACUUAAAAGAUUCAACAGACAGAUUUAAAAUCAAUUUUCUCUUAGGCGUCUACAAACCCCCAGAAAAGCUGGAGUGUUUGGACCUCGGUGAAAACAACUACAAGAACUUUGAAAAGUUUCUCAAAAUCAUUAAAAGAGAACUUCAGAAACCUUCAGCUUGACGGUGACUCUUAAAAACUUCCCAGUCUGGAUGGAGGAGCAGCUCAUCGAAGUGGGGCAGCAUCAGAUCCUCCCAGGACCUGGUGGUGGUCAGCACAUCCAACGCCACGGCUCGACACCUCCGUCAUGUUUAGGGGAAAAGCAGAGACAUACAUGUGCAGCCAAAGGGAGGCAUAAAAACCUCGUACAGAAUAACAGGACACAAAAAACCAUGACAAGUACAGAUCUCAGAUUUUCACAGAGACUGGAGGGUCAAAAAGAAACAAAACAACAACAAAAAAAUAAAUAAAACAAACAUCUUAGAUUUUUACAGACUGGAGGGUCAAAAAGAGAGAAACAAACAAAAAAAAAAACCCUAAAAAAAAAAAAAAACAGACAUUUUAUGGUAACAGUUCAUUGUCCCCCUCAUGUUAGUUGAAGCUGUAGAGGAGAUGUGGGUGAGGCCUGAAGUUGAAGUUGAGGUUGUCCUUGUUGAGUUGGUUUCCUUUUGGAGAACUGAGUGAACUUUGCUGAUUUGUUGUUUCCUUAAGAGUUGUUGUUUUGCUUUUUGCGUUUUGGAUUUUGUUUGUUUUUUUUUACUGAUGGGCUCAGCAAGUAUUUGGUAAAACUUGCAACUGACAUUUUUGCAGUUUUUUGUGUCAACCAAGUUUCAUGAAAACAGAAAUAACCUUUUUAGAGUCAUAAAACCCUUUUUAACCUUGAGUGAUGCUGAACCAUUCUCUGGUUGGUUGUGAAUUUUCUUUUUUUGGUUUGGUUUUUAUUUAGUGUUUUCAGCAUUUCUUGAUUUUUUGACUGUUGUCGUUAAGCUUUUGAGUUAGCUUUUGGUUUUCCCUUGUGUCAUUGAAAGCACCAUUUAAACCUUGUAUUACCAUUGUGUCCCUGUGGGCACCACUUAAACCUUGUUGAUUUGCCCUUUUGUCAUUGAAAGCACCAUUUAAACCUUGUUGUUGGGUCACUGAAAGCACAAUUUAAACCUUGUUUGUGUUACCAUCAUGUCCCUGAAAGAACCUCAUGAACCAUGUUGUUCGUUUCCAUAUUGUCUUUGAAAGCAUCGUUGUGAACUUUGUUGGUUUGUGGUUGUGUGGCUGAAAACACUUUUUAAACCUUGUUUUUGGUUUGAUUGUUGUGUUUUUGAUCGUUGAAGCUUGUGUUGUUGCAUCUUUGGAAACACCGACCCAGCCUUACAUGUUAUCAACAUAAAAACAGGCAUAGAUCGAGCUUAGGUGGGCCUUAACUUUGGGAAAACAGCUGAAGCACACCCAUGUUACCUUGCGCCUUUGUGAAAACGAUUAAUGAUCAGAGAAAAGUUGUUUCUGGAGUUGAAGCAUUCAGACUUUUGGGUGACAAUAGGACAGUGUGGUGUUCCCUGUCUCAUCUUACCUGCAGCACAAGGAUGUCUGACUUCGUCUCUUUAGAGGUGAUCUAGAUCCUUCCUGAAGACAUUGGUGGUUGCCAGCUUCAACACUGAAGAUGCUCACUUCUGUGAUGGUUGGGGAAAAGGAGAGAGACACACAUACAAAUGCAGAAAAUACUCGACUUAAAAACAGUGAAGGUGAGGUGCAGCAUUAGAAAAUCUGUUUGAAACUGAAUAUGGAUGAAGUUAUCAGAAUGCAGGAUUUGGUUUCUUACAUGCUUUCUUGUGGUUACUUUGGUGAAAACAUAACGUUACCACAAUGAAAAGUUCAUCUUACCUUCAACAAGAUGACCACCCUUGGAUUUCCCAGACAGAACAGGAAGGUGGCACUUUGAGUUUCUGCAGCAACUGUUCCUCCAGGAAAAGAGUGGUCACCUCGUCAGACCUGCUCAUGUUCGGAGGAAAGCAGACAUACAUAUGCACCAAAAGAAACAUGGCCAAACAUACAGAAAAUAAAUAAGUUUAAGAAAAAAAAAAAAAAAUGUACAACACAUGCAGAUCAUGACAAGCACAGUUCAAGGAUUCCAUUUCAGAGAUUCAAAAGGUUCACAAAAAUACAAAGAAUAAAUAAAAAUAAGAAAAACUACAGUUUUAACAAAAACAGUUGGAGGAUCUACACAGUUUGUUUAUUGUCCUCGUUCUGUUUAGUGUUGACAGUUACAUCUGAUAGAAACACUGUGCAAACGUUGCUGUCUUGUCGUUGUUUCAGUUGGAUCCUUUGGAAGCACUUUGACGGUUGUUGCGAUGUUGGUGGUUUUGAAACUUAGUUUUGGUUGAUAGUGAUUUUGCUGAAGUUGCUUUGACAGACCUUUUGAGAGCAGACUUUUAACAUACCGUCUUUGCUUGUCUAAGAACCAGUUUUUUUAAGCACCUUUUAAACCUUGUAUUUUGGGUUUAAGAUCAAGGCCUUGGAAGCACCUUUGAAAACUUUUUUAGGGUUUGAGGUAAAGUAUUUGAAAGCACCUUUUGAAGCUUUUUGCGUUCGAGACUAAGGCUUUGAAAACACCUUAAAAAUUUCUUUUGUUUAAAAUCAAAUCUUUGAAAGCACCUUUCAAACCUUUUUGUUUGUUUGCGAUCAAUCCUUGAAAAACAACUUUUCAGCCCUUUUUUGUUUGAGUACAAGUCUUGGAAAGCACCUUUUUUUUGAAGCCUUUUUUGAGAACAAGUCUUUGAAAGCACCUUUAGAACCUUGUUUCUGGGUUUGAGAUCAAGUCUUUCAAAGCACCUUUUUAAGAACCUUGAAUUUGGUUUGAGAUCAAGAUUUUUAAAGCACCUUUUGAACCUAUUUUGGUUUGAGAUCAAGAUUUUCAAAGCACCUUUUUAAGAACCUUUUUUUUGUAUGAAAUCAUACCUUGAAAAGCACCUUGUGAACCAUGUUAUUGGUUUGAGAACAAGUCUUUGAAAGCACCCUUUAAACCCUUUUGUGUGGGUACAAGUCUUUGAAUGCACCUUUUUUUGAAGCCUUUUUUUGAGAACAAGUCUUUGAAAGCACCUUUAGAACCUUGUUUCUGGGUUUGAGAUCAAGUCUUUCAAAGCACCUUUUUAAGAACCUUGAAUUUGGUUUGAGAUCAAGAUUUUUAAAGCACCUUUUGAACCUAUUUUGGUUUGAGAUCAAGAUUUUCAAAGCACCUUUUUAAGAACCUUUUUUUUGUAUGAAAUCAUACCUUGAAAAGCACCUUGUGAACCAUGUUAUUGGUUUGAGAACAAGUCUUUGAAAGCACCCUUUAAACCCUUUUGUGUGGGUACAAGUCUUUGAAUGCACCUUUGGAACCAUGUUUCUGGGUUUGAGAUCACAUCUUUUAAAGCACCUUAUUAGAACCUUGUUUUUGGUUUGAGCUCAAGUUUUUUAAAGCACCUUUUGGACCUUGCAUUUGGUUUGAGAUCAAGAUUUUGAAAGCACCUUUCAAGCCUUUUUUGGUUUGAGAUUAAGAUUUUGAAAGCACCUUUUGAACCAUUUUUUUGUUUGAGAACAAGUCUUUGAAAGCACUUUUGGAACCAUGUUUCUGGGUUUGAGAUCACAUCUUUUAAAAGCACCUUAUUAGAACCUUGUUUUUGGUUUGAGAUAAAGAUUUUGAAAGCACCUUUUGGACCUUGCAUUUGUUUGAGAUAAAGAUUUUUAAAGCACCUUUCAAGCCUUUUUUGGUUUGAGAUCAAAUUUUUGAAAAGCACCUUUUUAGAAUUUUCUUUUUUGUCUUGAAAUCAUACCUUGGAAAGCACCUUCUGAACCAUGUUUUUGAGUUUAAGAACAAGUCUUUUGAAAGCACCUUUUUUAAACCCUUUACUCUAAGAACAAGUCUUUGAAGGCACCUUCUGAACCAUGUUUCUGGGUUGAGAACAAGUCUUUGAAAGCACCUUUCAAACCUUUUUUUGAGAACAAGUCUUUGAAAGCACCUUAAGAACCAUGUUUCUGGGUUGAGAACAAGUCUUUGAAAGCACCUUGGGAACCUUGUUUUUUAGUUUGAAAUCAAGUCUUUUAAAAGCACCUUAAGAACCUAUUUCUGGGUUUGGAUCAAGUCAUGAAAGCACCUUUUGAACCAUGUUUCUGGGUUGAGAACAAGUCUUUGAAAGCACCCCUCAAACCUCUGAGUUUGAAAUCAAGAUGAUCACAUCUAAAAAUAAGGUGAUCACCUACCCUCAGAAAGAUGACCAACCUUACAGCAGAAUCCAUGUCAAUGUUGUCACGGUGUUCUUCAAGUUCUCGUUGUCCUUCUUGUAGUUCCUCUGGAUCUGUUGGUCUUAAUUCGUGAGGUUUUUGCAGUUUUAACAUUAGCAUGAUCCUGAUACUAUGAAAGAAUAGGAGUUUAACUGGACAUAUCAAUAAAGCACAGUCGAAUACUGUGCACUUGACAAGUUUAGCUGGGUUCAUUUUCAGCAUAGUUAUCCUUACAGUUUUGACAGCUGUUACUGCCACUGCAUCAAAGUUAACAUUACUGGUUUUUCAUUUUCAUGUCACUCCAGAGUAAAAAAAACAUUUUAUCAUUAAGGUUUUUUUGGAGUGUGAUCAUCAUAUUGAAGUCAAAUGUAAAAGGAAAAAAAACAGACCCAGUCCUGUUCAGAGGUUUGGGCGUUGACACACAGGGUCCACCAUCAGGUCUUCUUCUACUCCUUCAGUUCUUCUGAAUGGUCUUCUUGUUCUCCGUGAUAGUGCUGCUGAGAAAAAGCUUUGAUUGUUUGGUUUAUGCCAUUUUUUGAUUGAGUAGAGGCAAUUUAUUUUUAGGCUUGAAGGUGCUCUUGUUAGAUUAGGUGCUUUUGUCAAAUUAGAAAGGUGCUUUUGACAUACCUUUUUGAGACCAGACUUUUUAACAUACCGUCUUUGCUUGUUCAAGAACCAGUUUUUGAAAGAAACCUUUUAAAACUUUUUUGUUUUUAAGAUCAAGUCUUUGGAAGCAACUUUUACAAAUCUUUGAAGAGCUUGAAAUCAAGUCUUUGAAAGCACGUUGAGAACCUAUUUCUGGGUUUGGAUCAAGUCAUGAAAAGCAACCUUUGAACCUUGUUUCUGGAUUUGAGAUCAAGUUUUGGAAAACACCCCUCAAACCUUUUUUUUUUUUGAGUUUUAAAUCAAGAUGAUCACAUCCACAAACAACGAGAUGUUCACCUACCCUCAGAAAGAUGACCAACCUUACAGCAAAAGCCAUGUCAACGUUGUCAUGCUGUUCUUGAAGUUCUCGUUGUCCUUCUUGUAGUUCCUCUGGAUCUUGUCUUAACUUUUGAGGUUUUUGCAGUUUUAACAUUAGCAUGAUCCUAAUACUAUUCAAGAAUCGAAGUUUAGCUUGACAAAUCAAUAAAGCACAGUCGAAUACUGUGCACUUGACAAGUUUAGCUGGGUUCAUUUUCAGCAUAGUUAUCCUUACAGUUUUGACAGCUGUUACUGCCACUGCAUCAAAGUUAACAUUACUGGUUUUUCAUUUUCAUGUCACUCCAGAGUAAAACAAACAUUUUAUCAUUAAGGUUUUUUUGGAGUGUGAUCAUCAUAUUGAAGUCAAAUGUAAAAGGAAAAAAAACAGACCCAGUCCUGUUCAGAGGUUUGGGCGUUGACACACAGGGUCCACCAUCAGGUCUUCUUCUACUCCUUCAGUUCUUCUGAAUGGUCUUCUUGUUCUCUGUGAUAGUGCUGCUGAGAAAAAGCUUUGAUUGUUUGGUUUAUGCCAUUUUUUGAUUGAGUAGAGGCAAUUUAUUUUUAGGCUUGAAGGUGCUCUUGUUAGAUUAGGUACUUUUGUCAAAUUAGAAAGGUGCUUUUGACAUACCUUUUUGAGACCAGACCUUUUUAACAUACCGUCUUUGCUUGUUCAAGAACCAGUUUUUGAAAGAAACCUUUUAAAACUUGUUUUUUGUUUUUAAGAUCAAGUCUUUGGAAGCAACUUUUACAAAUCUUUGAAGAGCUUGAAAUCAAGUCUUUGAAAGCACGUUGAGAACCUAUUUCUGGGUUUGGAUCAAGUCAUGAAAAGCAACCUUUGAACCUUGUUUCUGGAUUUGAGAUCAAGUUUUGGAAAACACCCCUCAAACCUUUUUUUUUUUUGAGUUUUAAAUCAAGAUGAUCACAUCCACAAACAACGAGAUGUUCACCUACCCUCAGAAAGAUGACCAACCUUACAGCAAAAGCCAUGUCAACGUUGUCAUGCUGUUCUUGAAGUUCUUGUUGUCCUUCUUGUAGUUCCUCUGGAUCUUGUCUUAACUUUUGAGGUUUUUGCAGUUUUAACAUUAGCAUGAUCCUAAUACUAUUCAAGAAUCGAAGUUUAGUUUGACAAAUCAAUAAAGCACAGUCGAAUACUGUGCACUUGACAAGUUUAGCUGGGUUCAUUUUCAGCAUAGUUAUCCUUACAGUUUUGACAGCUGUUACUGCCACUGCAUCAAAGUUAACAUUACUGGUUUUUCAUUUUCAUGUCACUCCAGAGUAAAACAAACAUUUUAUCAUUAGGGUUUUUUUGGAGUGUGAUCAUAUUUAAGUCAAAUGUAAAAAGAAGAAAAAAACAGACCCUGUUCAGAGGUUUUCUUCUACCUGGGUACUGGUCCAGGUGUAGCGCAGACAUCUUCACCCUGCUUCUUCCAAGUCUUUCUGGUGUCACCAUGCUGCUCCACAUCAUUCUUCAUAUAUCUUCAGGUUGUACUUGCUGACUUAGCUCACAGCACUUUGCACAACUUACAAUCAAUAGAAAUCCUAAACUGGUCUAAAAGGUCAAAAUAAAGCACAGCAAAAUACUGUGCACUAGAGUUUAGCAGGGUUUGUUUUCAGUCUAAUUAUCCUUACAACAGCCUUGAAUCCCUAUCUUUGUAACAGCCACUGUAAUUAACAUUACUGGGUUUUCAUUUUCAUAAUCACUCAUUUUAAGAGUGAAAACAACAGUUUCAAGACAAAUUAGGGGAAAAAAAAAACAAGCAGUAUGAAAAAAAUCAACCUUGAAGAUCUUCACACCUUUUGAGAUCUUAUAUCUUCAAGUUGUACCUUCUGCGUUAGCUCACAGCACUAUGCACAAUUUACAAUCAAUAGAAAUCCUAAACUGGUCUAAAAGGUCAAAAUAAAGCACAGCAAAAUACUGUGCACUAGAGUUUAGCAGGGUUUGUUUUCAGUCUAAUUAUCCUUACAACAGCCUUGAAUCCUUAUCUUUGUAACAGCCACUGUAAUUAACAUUACUGGGUUUUCAUUUUCAUAAUCACUCAUUUUAAGAGUGAAAACAACAGUUUCAAGACAAAUUAGGGAAAAAAAAAAAACAAGCAGUAUGAAAAAAAUCAACCUUGAAGAUCUUCACACCUUUUGAGAUCUUAUAUCUUCAAGUUGUACCUUCUGCGUUAGCUCACAGCACUAUGCACAAUUUACAAUCAAUAGAAAUCCUAAACUGGUCUAAAAGGUCAAAAUAAAGCACAGCAAAAUACUGUGCACUAGAGUUUAGCAGGGUUUGUUUUCAGUCUAAUUAUCCUUACAACAGCCUUGAAUCCCCAUCUUUGUAACAGCCACUGCGGCUCCUGUUUCCAUCAUUAACAUUACUGGGUUUUCAUUUUUGUUGUCAUUCAUUUCAAGAGUGUCAAAAUAAAGCACAGCAAAAUACUGUGCACUUGAGUUUAGCAGGGUUUGUUUUCAGUCUAAUUAUCCUUACAACAGCCUUGAAUCCUUAUCUUUGUAACAGCCACUGUAAUUAACAUUACUGGGUUUUCAUUUUCAUAAUCACUCAUUUUAAGAGUGAAAACAACAGUUUCAAGACAAAUUAGGGAAAAAAAAAACAAGCAGUAUGAAAAAAAUCAACCUGGUCUGUGCAUCGGGCAUCCAUUCCUCGUUGAAGAUCUUCACACCUUUUGAGAUCUUAUAUCUUCAAGUUGUACUUGCUGCGUUAGCUCACAGCACUAUGCACAACUUACAAUCAAUAGAAAUGCUAAACUGAUCUAAAAGGUCAAAAUAAAGCACAGAAAAGUACUGUGCACUACAGUUUAGCAGGGUUUGUUUUCAGUCUAAUUAUCCUUACAACAGCCUUGAAUCCCUAUCUUUGUAACAGCCACUGCGGCUCCUGUUUCCAUCAUUAACAUUACUGGGUUUUCAUUUUUGUUGUCAUUCAUUUCAAGAGUGUCAAAAUAAAGCACAGCAAAAUACUGUGCACUUGAGUUUAGCAGGGUUUGUUUUCAGUCUAAUUAUCCUUACAACAGCCUUGAAUCCUUAUCUUUGUAACAGCCACUGUAAUUAACAUUACUGGGUUUUCAUUUUCAUAAUCACUCAUUUUAAGAGUGAAAACAACAGUUUUAAUACAAAUUAGGGGGGAAAAAAACAAGCAGUAUGAAAUAAUCAACCUGGUUGGUGUCCUUCAAAUGGGUCCUUCGUCGGGGAAAUUUGAGGUAGUUUGGGGCGACGAGGAGGAGUAUCCACUUGGGCAGAGAAACGCUGCUUUCCAAAAACGCAUUGCAAAAAUCAGACCUUGUGACGCAUCCCGACUAUUUUAAAGCUUCCCUCAGGAAGUUUAAUUUUAAUUCGAGUGAACUCUCAUUUUUGUUUUGGUAAAUUUGUUGAUUUACACGUUUUUGAGGACGGAGUUGCUAUUUUCUUUAAUGAAAUCUGAUAGUAGACUUGUUUUGGGGGUCUAUGUUGCUGCACUGGUUGAUCGUUAAUAGUGGGGAUUCUUGUUUUUGUGGUUUUGGAAGAGAACAGUUUCUCUCCACAAUUGCAUCACCAAAACAGAGCAAAACUAGACAAAAAUCUGCUUCUCUGGAAGAGAACAGUUUCUCUCCACAAUUGCAUCACCAAAGCAGACCAAAACUAGACCAAAACCUGCAACCCCAGAAGAGAACACUUUCUCUCCACAAUUGCAUCACCAAAACUAGACCAAAACCUGCUACUCGGGCAGAGAACAACUGCACUGCUUGAUUGUUGAUGGUGGGGUUCUUGUUUUUGUUGGUGCGGUUGUUGUCAAACCAAAAGCAAACUGACCUCCAGUGUCCCUCGUUGAUGGUCUGUCCGUGGAGUGAAGUAGUCAGUAUCUUACCUUACAGGGUCCAGGCGUUGGACGGUCAUGAGUUCUGCCUCAGUUUGACUUGAUCCGGCGUAAUUUCAGCUCCUGGUUAACACACAGAGAAAUACACAACCAUCAAACCUUAAGUCCUGAAUGUAAGACUCAGAAUUAAAAACCUUGACCUCUUUGACCUCCUUCAAUAAUCAGCUUUCACACAAUUUUAUGAGUUCAGACCUAUUUUAAAUACUUUACAAUAACUACAAUUUAUAAAUGGUAAAUUGAUAAUUAAAGUUUAAUCAUCAUUUAAAAACAGCCUAUAGACCAAUUAUAAAUGCCAAAUAGAUAGUUUUUAUGUAAGUUAAUUGUUACUUUAAUGAUUGAUAAUUCUCAUUAAUUAUUAAUGGACUAUUUAUUAAAGGUUUAUAUAGGGUUUAAAUAUUGGUUUUAAAACAUCUAGAUUAAAAUGUGUGUCAGUACAUGGUUAAUAUUUGUUUCUUAAACCAUCUAUAAACAUUACUUGAUGGUUAUUGUAAAGUUGUAACUGAUGUUUGUAAUACUUUGUAAAUUAUUAAUAAUUGGUUUAUAAACCACCUAUAAACAUUAUUUAGAUGUUUAUAGUAGCGCUAGGGUAAGGUUUUCAUAAAAUUGACAAUUUAUUUAUGGCCUAUAUGCUAUUUAUAAAUGAUUUAAAUAUUAAUAAACUAUCUGCUUACCAUUCAUAAAUGGUUAAUUAACCAAUUAUGGUUAUUGUAAAGUGUUACCAGUCAUUUUAAACAGCUCAUGUUUGCAUCAUGGUUGGCAGCCAUGCUACAAAUCAGACCAUUUUCAAGCCUCAUCUUUAUUCUCUUUCUGGGCUUAUAAAGUUGCAUCCCUGCCUCAGUCUCACCUUUGGCCUCAUUGGAGUGGAGUCAUCGGAGAGGACAUGAAGUCAGCUGGAAUCUGAGGAACAUGCUGGAAAAAAAUAAACACAGAAGCACAGUUAGUACACACCAACAACAGCACUUUCCACGGCAGACUCAGGGUACACCAAGACAGAUCUGAAUAUGCAGUUUCACUUUUUCACACUGGGCUUUGAGAUCUUAUUGUCUUUACUAUGGUCAGAAAAAUAAGAACAAGGCCAAAUGCAGUCUUCUGAACAUUAUAUUCAUGGCACCAUCAUGUAAACCUUAAAACAAACUUAUUCAUUAAAGUAAAACACUUAAAUGUUUUUAUAAGUGUCAGAUUCAUGUUUAGGGUAGCUGUCAGAGGAUUUUAAGGCCCAGUCGCCUGAAUAACGCCAUCUGCUGGACAUUUAGUGUACACACACACACCCUCUGCAAGCUACAACUUGAUGCCAGAGUGGAAAUUUACUGGAAAAAGUCUUGUGUUUAACUUUGUUAUUGCUUUAACACGUCAGGCCUGUAUGAUAAUCCCAUGAAAAUAAAA